rnacentral:lncRNA from 1 species
AGAAUGACCCUCUUGCUUUUGCAUGGAUCCCUGGCUCUGCAUGGUUCACUCAGAGGUUCCUUGGUAGCUAAGGCUCAUCAUAGUCUUGGACCAGCUCAAGCAGUGAAAUGAACACUGAUAGAAUACCCAGGAUCGUCCCACCAUCAGAUCUGUGUUGCCACACACCAUGUGUUCCACCUGUAGACCAGAAGCUGCACUUAUCCCAGGAGAGCCAUGAACAGAGCACAAUGUGUUUGUAGGUAAUCAAAAGGUUGGACUUUCCUGAUUUAAAGCUAAGAGGACCUCACAUGAAUUUGGCAAUGUGAUGCCACAGUAGUCUUAAGAUGCAGAAAAACAGCACUGGGGAGACAGCUCAAUCAAUAAAGUGCUCUCCACUCCAAGUGUGAGAGCCGGAGUUCCACCAACACCUGUGUAAAAGCUGGAUGAAACAUGAUUCUCUGUACAUAUGUGCAAGCACACCCACACACAUGAACA